UACGUAGGGGGCAAGCGUUGUCCGGAAUCAUUGGGCGUAAAGAGCGUGUAGGCGGCCCGGUAAGUCCGCUGUGAAAGUCGGGGGCUCAACCCUCGAAUGCCGGUGGAUACUGUCGGGCUAGGGUGCGGAAGAGGCGAGUGGAAUUCCUGGUGUAGCGGUGAAAUGCGCAGAUAUCAGGAGGAACACCAAUGGCGAAGGCAGCACUCUGGGACGUGACUGACGCUGAGACGCGAAAGCGUGGGGAGCAAACAGG
rnacentral:rRNA from 1 species